UCUUAGUACUAUGACUUUAUCUAUAAUCAUAUGUUUACAUGUGUUCUCUUAUGUUUAUUGAUCACUUCAAUUGGACUCUAUCAUCUAGGUACCCAUCAUACUGUCGACCAAAUAUAUGGCCUUCCAUUUCUUUGCCUGAGCUUGAACAAGAUCCAAGAUUCUUCACGCUUAUUCUCUGAUUCAAAUUCUAGCAUCCAUCACUCAAGUUCUUGACCCAAAGAUUCAUCAACACCUAGCUUCUUUUUUUCAGUCAAAGUUUGUUCUGUUAUG